GGAGGGGGCUAGCGUUGUUCGGAAUUACUGGGCGUAAAGCGCGCGUAGGCGGACCUGCAAGUCGGGGGUGAAAGCCCGAGGCUCAACCUCGGAACUGCCUUCGAUACUGCGGGUCUCGAGUCCGGGAGAGGUGAGUGGAAUUCCUAGUGUAGAGGUGAAAUUCGUAGAUAUUAGGAAGAACACCAGUGGCGAAGGCGGCUCACUGGCCCGGUACUGACGCGGAGGCGCGAAAGCGUGGGGAGCAAACAGGAUUAGAUACCCUGGUAGUCCACGCCGUAAACUAUGGGUGCUAGCCGUCGGUCGGCAUGCCCGGUCGGUGGCGCAGCAAACGCAUUAAGCACCCCCGCCUGGGGAGUACGGUCGCAAGAUUA
rnacentral:rRNA from 1 species